rnacentral:rRNA from 1 species
AGAGUUUGAUCAUGGCUCAGAGCGAACGCUGGCGGCAGGCUUAACACAUGCAAGUCUAACGGACGCAGCAAUGCGUCAGUGGCAGACGGGUGAGUAACACGUGGGAACGUGCCCUUCGGUUCGGAACAACCCAGGGAAACUUGGGCUAAUACCGGAUACGUCCGCAAGGAGAAAGAUUUAUCGCCGAAGGAUCGGCCCGCGUCUGAUUAGCUUGUUGGUGAGGUAACGGCUCACCAAGGCGACGAUCAGUAGCUGGUCUGAGAGGAUGAUCAGCCACACUGGGACUGAGACACGGCCCAGACUCCUACGGGAGACAGCAGUGGGGAAUAUUGGACAAUGGGCGCAAGCCUGAUCCAGCCAUGCCGCGUGGGUGAUGAAGGCCUUAGGGUUGUAAAGCCCUUUCGGCGGGGAAGAUAAUGACGGUACCCGCAGAAGAAGCCCCGGCUAACUUCGUGCCAGCAGCCGCGGUAAUACGAAGGGGGUUAGCGUUGCUCGGAAUCACUGGGCGUAAAGCGCACGUAGGCGGAUUGCUAAGUCAGGGGUGAAAUCCUGGAGCUCAACUCCAGAACUGCCCUUGAUACUGGCGACCUUGAGUCCGGGAGAGGUGAGUGGAACUGCGAGUGUAGAGGUGAAAUUCGUAGAUAUUCGCAAGAACACCAGUGGCGAAGGCGGCUCACUGGCCCGGUACUGACGCUGAGGUGCGAAAGCGUGGGGAGCAAACAGGAUUAGAUACCCUAGUAGUCC